rnacentral:rRNA from 1 species
UGGGGAAUAUUGCACAAUGGGGGAAACCCUGAUGCAGCCAUGCCGCGUGUGUGAAGAAGGCCUUCGGGUUGUAAAGCACUUUCAGUGGGGAGGAAGGGGCGAUGCCUAAUACGCAUUGUCAUUGACGUUACCCACAGAAGAAGCACCGGCUAACUCCGUGCCAGCAGCCGCGGUAAUACGGAGGGUGCAAGCGUUAAUCGGAAUAACUGGGCGUAAAGCGCACGCAGGCGGUUGGACAAGUCAGAUGUGAAAUCCCCGGGCUCAACCUGGGAACUGCAUUUGAAACUGUCCGACUAGAGUCUUGUAGAGGGGGGUAGAAUUCCAGGUGUAGCGGUGAAAUGCGUAGAGAU